rnacentral:rRNA from 1 species
AUUGAACGCUGGCGGCAUGCCUUACACAUGCAAGUCGAACGGUAACGGGCCUCCGGGUGCCGACGAGUGGUGAACGGGUGAGUAAUACAUCGGAACGUGCCCGAUCGUGGGGGAUAACGAGGCGAAAGCUUUGCUAAUACCGCAUACGAUCUACGGAUGAAAGCAGGGGACCGCAAGGCCUUGCGCGGACGGAGCGGCCGAUGGCAGAUUAGGUAGUUGGUGGGGUAAAAGCUUACCAAGCCGACGAUCUGUAGCUGGUCUGAGAGGAUGAUCAGCCACACUGGGACUGAGACACGGCCCAGACUCCUACGGGAGGCAGCAGUGGGGAAUUUUGGACAAUGGGCGCAAGCCUGAUCCAGCCAUGCCGCGUGCAGGAUGAAGGCCUUCGGGUUGUAAACUGCUUUUGUACGGAACGAAAAGCCGUCUUUUAAUACAGGGGGGUCAUGACGGUACCGUAAGAAUAAGCACCGGCUAACUACGUG